AGAGCGAACGCUGGCGGCAUGCUUAACACAUGCAAGUCGCACGAAGGUUUCGGCCUUAGUGGCGGACGGGUGAGUAACACGUAGGAAUCUAUCCAUGGGUGGGGGAUAACGGCGGGAAACUGCUGCUAAUACCGCAUGACACCUGAGGGUCAAAGGCGCGAGUCGCCUGUGGAGGAGCCUUCGUCCGAUUAGCUAGUUGGUGAGGUAAAGGCUCACCAAGGCGAUGAUCGGUAGCUGGUCUGAGAGGAUGAUCAGCCACAUUGGGACUGAGACACGGCCCAAACUCCUACGGGAGGCAGCAGUGGGGAAUAUUGGACAAUGGGCGAAAGCCUGAUCCAGCAAUGCCGCGUGGAUGAAGAAGGUCUUCGGAUUGUAAAGUCCUUUCGGCGGGACGAUGAUGACGGUACCCGCAGAGAAGCCCGAUAACUUCGUGCCAGCAGCCGC
rnacentral:rRNA from 1 species